rnacentral:rRNA from 1 species
GUCCACGCCCUAAACGAUGCACACUAGUUGUUGUGAGGCUAGACCUUGCAGUAAUGCAGUUAACACAUUAAGUGUGCCGCCUGGGGAGUACGGUCGCAAGAUUAAAACUCAAAGGAAUAGACGGGGACCCCGCACAAGCGGUGGAGCAUGUGGUUUAAUUCGACUAUACACGAAGAACCUUACCUGGACUUGACAUAGUAAGAACUUUCUAGAGAUAGAUUGGUGUCUGCUUGCAGAAACUUAUAUACAGGUGCUGCACGGCUGUCGU